AUAUAUAUAUAUAUAUGUAUUUGUGUAUCUCUGUAUGUGUCUAUAUUCUGUAUAUUGGUAUAAUGUUUUUUGUUUAGUUUUCUUUAGUUACAUAGGCUGAAAAGAGACAUGUGUAUGGACUUUCCUCACGUUCAGCUUUCCUCACAUUUAUUUUUUUGCUGUUGAUCCAAAAGAAGGCAAAAAAACCCAGUUUGAAGCACAUACAAUUUUGCACCAAACUAGGAAAAAAAUCCCUCUUGACCCCAGAAUGGCAUUCAGAUUUAUCCUUGGAUCAAGAAGCUUUUACCCUACAUUGAAAAAUUAUAUCCUGAAUAUUCUGUUUUUGCAAGUAUGCAUCUUGUUGCUGUUUAAACUUCUGUACGGAGUCUGAUAAAAACACUUCUUCAUGCAGAGAAUUACAUAUCCUUGUUGUUCUAACGGUAAAAAAACCUUUCCUUUGCAUUAGGCUAAAUCUUCUUUCUUCCAGUCUAAACGCAUGACCUCAUGUCCUAUGUUUAAUCCUGUUUGUGAAUAGGUUUCCACACAAUGGUUUGUAUUGGCCCCGGAUAUAUUUGUAUAAUGUUAUCAUAUCCCCUCUGAGGUGAUGUUUUUCUAAACGAAAGAGGUUUAAUUUUUUUUAGCUGAUCUGUUCCAUUCCUUUUAUUAAUUUUGUAGCCUGUCUCUGCACUCUUUCUAGUGCCAUAAUAUCUUUCUUUAAAACAGGUGCCCAUAAUUGCACAGCAUAUUCAAGAUGUGGUUUUACCAGAGAUUUAUAAAGAGGCAAAAUGAUAUUCUCAUCUGGAGAAUGAAUACCUUUUUUCAUGCAUGACAAUACCUUACUGGCCUUAGGCACUGCUGAUUUACAUUGCACAUUGUUGCAUAGUUUGUUGUCUAUAACAAUUCCAAAGUCCUUCUCGUGUGUUAUCCCCAAUUCACUUCCAUUAAGGGUAUAAGUUGCUUGUGCAUUCUUUAUGAAAAAGUGCAUAACUUUGCAUUUUUCUACAUUAAGUUUCAUCUGCCAUUUGAGUGCCCUGUCCUCCAGUCUAUCUAAAUCUCUCUACAGCAAAGUAAUAUAUUGCUCACAUUGUAUUACUUUACAGAGUUUUGUGUCAUCUGCAAACACCGAAACUUGACUUUCAAUGCUUUUUUCAAGAUCAUUAGAAAAAUAGAAUGUGACGGCAGAUAAGAACCAUUUGGCCCAUCUAGUCUGCCCAAUUUUGUUUUUUUAAAAAUACUUUCAUUAGUCCCUGACCUUAUCUUAUAGUUAGGAUAGCCUUAUGCAUAUCCUAAGCAUGCUUAAACUCUUUUACUGUGUUAACCUCUACCACUUCAGCUGGAAGACUAUUCCAUGCAUCCACUACCCUCUCAGUAAAGUAAUAGGGUUUUUUUAUGUUUGUGUAUGUCUGGGAGACAUAUAUGUGCAUGUUUGUGUGCGUGUGACUUAGAGUAUGUACCUCAGAUGUGUUGCCUUUAAUAAUUUUGCAACAGGUCCACCUUUUUAACUGCUCAUAUUUUAAGAUGUAGAACUACAAUGCAUUAGUUUUUAACAAGUCACAUCUGUAAACAAUUAUCUGAAAGUGGCAACACCAUUUAAACCAUUUUAAGUUGUGAUGAAGAAUCUAUGUAGUCUUUUCUGAGACAUUUUAAAAAUAUUGCUCUCAGCAAAUGCGGUAUCAAAUGCAUUCCGAGGGUGAAACCCUUGAUAAUCUUGAGUCUAAGCCACCAGUACCUAAAGGAAUCCUAUAGUGUCAGGGACACAACCACGUAUUCCUGACACUAGUGGUAAAAUAGCUAUUUAGGUAGCUUGCCCCCCCUAUUAAAAAGGUGAUUUUACUAAUAUUUCUUCCUAUCUCGCUGCGGCUGUCCCCAAAUCUACCUCCAUGGCUGAGAUCAUUAAACUUAACAAUCUCAGCCUAUCCAAUGCUUUCUUAUAGAAAAGCAUCGGGAGGCUAUUGCUCAUGCAUAGCAACAUGCUGCACUGCACCAAUUAGUAUCUCCUCACAGAAGUGCAUUGAUUCAAUGCAUCACUAUGGGGACUCAGUAUCUCCGCGCAAAGUGUGGAGUUGCUAAAUGUAGGUGAUGCACACCAUGCAGCACUGAGAUAGGAAGCACCUCUAGUAGCUGUCUGAGUGACUGCCACUAGAGGUGUUACUAUGCAGUAAUGUAAACCUUUACAUUAAAAAGCCUGCAGGGACAGGCUGCAGACACCAGAAUAACUACUAUUGUUGGUCUGGUGACUAAAAUGUCCCUUUAACUAUGUAAUUCAAAAUCUUCUGGGUUUAAAAUAUUACAGGAAAUUAAUGGUGUGGGCCUGUAUAAUUUAUUCAUAUAGUGUAAGGGUGCAGAUGAAGAGGAAAUAGUAUUCUCACAAGGUUUGUGUAGGGAUGUAGUCAAAGAGUCUUUUCUAUGAAAGGCAGCAAUUAUGGCUUCUCAGUAGUUUUCAUAAAAUAAUAUACCAUUGCAUUCUUAGGAAGAAGUGUUAACCACAAUCACACAGGUAGGUCUGUGUGAACCUUUGCCUUUAUAUGCACCUUCUACCCUACCUGAUAUCUGGUAUUGGGUUCUCCUUUACCUCUUGGAAGGUUUCUUGGGUAUUAACAGUUCUAAACAGGAGGGGGGAAAUAGGAGACACCACUGAUAUCGUCAAUACCAUUUCAUUUGUUUACCUUGAAGUCUACUGCCACAGGGCUGACAGCAGUGGUUUUCCAAUGUGCGCCCAGAGGCAACUCUUUUGUGAAGUAAGUGCUAUGUGGUCCAGUUAGAAAUUUAGAAAUACCAACUGACCAGAUUACCUGUAGCAUCAGAAGCAGUAUUGUAAUCAUGAUGCUGUAAGGAGAGUGAGUAAACGCAUCAAGCUGUUACAGCCCACUCCCCUGACACACCACAGAAUCCACCUUCCUGCAGCCAAGCUAGGUAAGUAAUGCAGUGUCUAAAAAUAUACAUAUUGAAGUUUAUAGAUGCAAGUGUAUUUCUUUAAACACCUACUUCAGGUCUCCUGACUUUAAUAAUUUGUAAAAGGCCUACCUUUUUUUUACUCCCAAAGUUUAAGUCUAGAACUGUCAUUGAACUGAUGUGUAUUAAAGAGAAACAAAAAAUAUAUUAUACAAUGCACACAUCUGUUAUGUGACGUAAGCCUAGUUUCCAGUACAUGUGAGUCUUGUCUCUCUUGUUACUGUGAGAAAAAAAACCACAGACAUCCCAUAUAUAAUCACACUGCCUUCUGACUAAUUUUGCAUAGUUAUCUAAGUAACCAAUUCCCUUAAAAUAUUUCUCCCAUUUUCUUUCUUUUGAAUGCUCAUUAAUGUUAACAAUGUAUAUGGCCAUCAUUUAAUCAGUCAUUGUUUUUCUUUUUCCUUGAGCAUUCAUUCUAUAUUUAUCUUUUCAAUCAUUCUGUCUUGUGUUGCAUGUGUUUUUCCAUGUGACUUGGGUUCAUGUAAGCUUAGGAACAAUAAUGGUUGUUGCUUCUCCUUUCCAUUUCAAAACCCAUGGGAUUCUACUCUAAAGGCAACAAUAGCUGGAACCUUUCGCUUAAGCCUGUUGAAGUCCUUGGCUGACCUCCAUAACCAGAUUUGCAGUUCCUUUAAAAGCCAAAAGUCUUCCAUCUUUCUCAGGAAAUCAUUACCCUUGCCAUAGCCCACGGCUGGUGGAGUUGAGGAAGUGGUCAGGUCUUGUGGGGGCUGGUAACCCAGGGAAGACAUCACUCCUGCUAUGCUAACAACCAGGCCCUGUAAACUUGUGCAAAAACGUCCAAGACUCCGUCUCAAUUCUGUACGUGCCACUUCCCCAUCAAUAGACCUUAGAUAGCAGAGGAGCAAGCUGUAUGCCCGAUGAUUCUCUGCCAAGCGUAAACCAUCAUUUAGAUUCCGCCAAAGAUGAAAGUCUACAGAGGCACUGGGGAUUGUUUCUGGACCUCCUGAACGUGGUGGGUUGAAAUCUGGGUCAUUGAAAGGGGGACCAAGAUAAUUUAG